CUCAGGAUGAACGCUAGCUACAGGCUUAACACAUGCAAGUCGAGGGGCAUCAUGGAGUUUGCUUGCAAACUCUGAUGGCGACCGGCGCACGGGUGAGUAACGCGUAUCCAACCUUCCCUAUAGUAGAGGAUAGCCCGGCGAAAGUCGGAUUAAUACUCUAUGUUUUCCGUUGCAGACAUCUAAGAUGGAACAAAGGCUUGCCGCUAUAGGAUGGGGAUGCGUCUGAUUAGGUAGUCGGCGGGGUAACGGCCCACCGAGCCUUCGAUCAGUAGGGGUUCUGAGAGGAAGGUCCCCCACAUUGGAACUGAGACACGGUCCAAACUCCUACGGGAGGCAGCAGUGAGGAAUAUUGGUCAAUGGACGAGAGUCUGAACCAGCCAAGUAGCCGUGCAGGAUGACGGCCCUAUGGGUUGUAAACUGCUUUUAUGCGGGGAUAAAGUUCACUACGUGUAGUGUUUUGUAGGUACCGCAUGAAUAAGGACCGGCUAAUUCCGUGCCAGCCGCGGC
rnacentral:rRNA from 1 species